ACAAACAAAAAUUUCCUGCAACUUCUACAUCUUUCCACUUAAAGAGAAAGAAAAAUUAUUUUUCCUCUUCGACUCCCUUCAUCACACGACACAAAUCAAAGUCGAAAGAACGAGAUAUAGCCGAGAGUAGAGGAGAAAGUUGGAAGGUACUAUUGUUGCUUCAUCUCUAGAAACAUAAAUAUUUUGCAUUUAAACAUUUUAACGCAAUCCCUUAAUCUUUGAUUAUUCUAUAGAAUUUUCAAUCCUAAAGUGCAGAUUCAUUAGUAGUAGUAUUACUCCUAAUAAUAAUUGUUGCGAAAAUUUCAACGUUAUGAUGAUGAUUUUCUUCUUUCUUUGACCAAAUUGAUAGUGAAGGAGAGAAAUUGAACAAAUAUAUUGGUUGGGCAACUUGGAUGGAAGGUGACCCUGCAAGUGUGUAAUGACCCAAAAGCUCCUCUUUAGAAUUUUUGAAUAUUUGUUUAACUUAAGUUAAUUAAACAAUAGUUUAUGGGCUAAAGUGAUAAUUUAUUUAAGACCCUAUACCCUUUUAGCCUAUAUUUAAUAAAAUAUGUGGGUAAAACCUAUCACUUUUAGUACUUAAAUAAUUCAGAAAAAAAGAAUUAGGGAAAACGAAGAACUGACGACGGCCGACAAACACAAAGGAAGAGGCAUAACGUGUCCAGGUAAUUGUUAAACAUAAUUAUUCUUAUUUAUUUAUUGUUGCCGUUAAUUAGUAUUAGCAUUAAUUGAAUAUGCAUUGUGUUAUAUAUAUGUAUAAGAUUUGCAAAGUAUGACUCCAUUAUGUGGCAGUGAUGAUUGAGCAACCAAUUCGGCGGAAAAUUUCAUGAAAUUAACAUAUUAAACUCAUGAUAUUAAAUAAGUUGAGAUUUUAGGGUUAAGUCAUUAUGUUUAACUAUUCGAAGUGGUAUUGUUUUAUGUGUUUAGUAUAAUAAUAAUAAUUAUGAUGAAUUAAAUUUUGAUAUAUUAAGAUAGGUAAUUAGAUAUUGAGUGUAUUAUACUAUAUGAUAAUUAUUGGGUUUGUAGUAUUUGGAGAAAAUAUGAUUUAACCUUAGACUUGAAACUUGGAAAAUAUAAUAGUUGAAAUGUUAGUUGGCAUCAAGAAUUACGAUCUUGAUUAUAAAUUUGAGGUGAAAUUUUAGGUCAAGAUUAAACACACAAAAGUGUGAGUGUUGUUAGUUCUGAAACCUUAUUGUGAAUAUAUAAACUUGCAUAGAUUGCAUUGAUUUGGAAGCUCAACGGAAAGAGAAGGCUCAAGUCCCAGAGUGAUUAUUCGAGUGGUUAAGGCAAGUGGAUUUCUAAACCCUUGUUAAGCAUAUGAAAUUCGUGUAUUUCCUUGCGUAGUGUUGAGAAUGACUUGGAGACUUGUUGCUUAUUUGUUGGUGUUGUAUUCCUUGUUGUGAAUUGUGCUUUGUUAUCAAAAUGGUUAUCUUCUCAUUUUCAUUCGAGCAUCUCAUUUGCAUUGUAUCUGAGACAUGGUUGUGGUAAGAGGAUGCCCCAUUUCGAGAGUCGUAUCGCGCGCCGCGAUGGAUAUUACAUUUCGAGGGCCUUAUCGCGCGCCGCGAAGGCUACUAUUAUCGAGGGUAGUGUCGUGCACCGCGACAGAUGCAUCGAUAGAUAUGUCCCUCAUGGGUCCCGAACUGAGAGAUAGCGGGUGUGUAUCGUUAAGAAAGACAUGCAUCACUAUAUUUGACAUUGCAUCUCAUGGCAUUGCACAUUUUAUUAUUGAUGAACUUGAACACGUGCUUUGCUGAUCUUGUGAUUGUUUCUCUGUGAAGCUUGUGACUGUUGAAUAUUGAGCUGUUAUUGAGAAUGUGUAAACUGAUAGAGUGUGGUUAUUGAGUUGUGUGUUUGGUAAACUGUAAACUAUUAGGCUGUAGUGUGGAGGUUUAGAUAGGGUGUAAGGAGUACCCGUAUUUUGUUCACUUAACUUGUGUUUAGAGGUUUGCUUGUUGGGUACCGCGUGGUUUGGUACUCACCCCUUGCUUCUACAAAUUUUUUUGUAGGUUACGAGCCUGGAUCUUCUUGAUAUCUGUCAUUCUUUUCGUUUCCGAGGCAUCUUGUGGAGGGUUGUGAGGUAGCUGCUUGUCAUCUCAGCAAACUUUCCUACUCCAGUUUAUGAUUUUGUUUUUACUUGAAAGACAACUUCAUUUUAGACUUCUAUUUUGUUCCAAUUCUAAUAUUUACAUUAGAGGCUUGUGCACGUGAUAACCUGGUUUUGGGGAUUGGAUUAAUAUGACUUGGUUUCAUAAUAGGAAUUGUUGUUGGAUUGUCAUUUACUUCCGCACUUUGUUAGAUAUUGUGUUUUAGGCUGACUUGUCUUGGUGGGAUAAGACGAGUGCCAUCACAUCCAUUUUUUGGGUCGUGAAAAAAUGGUAUCAGAGCUCCAGGUUCAUAGGUAUCACGUGUAUUCAAGCCGAGUCUACGUAGAGUCUCAAGGAUCAGUACGGAGACGUCUGUACUCAUCUCUGAGAGGCUAUAAAGAUUACUAGGAAACUUCCUUUUGUUCAUUCUUUAUCAUCGUGCGUAGUUACCUUCGUUAGUACUGAUUUGUUGUAUACUUUUUUGACAGAUGACGAGGACUAGAACUAAUGUUACUGGUGGUAGAGGGGAGGCACUUCCCGAGGCAGUUGUUGAGGCCCCAGCUAGGGGUAGGGGUAGAUCUCGAGCUAGAGGUCGUGCUAGUAGUACGACAGUAGCCAGAGGUCGUGGACGUGGAGCAGCACCAGUGAGAGGUCCUGCUAAAGAGGUCUCUGCAGAACCUUAGAUUGAUAGCAGGGAGGACCAGGUUCCUCCAUAUCCUGUAGUCACACCUUUGCUUCAGGAUACACUAUUGAGGGUGUUAAGUGUGAUAGGGAUUUUCUCAGGGUGGUGGUGCGACUACCACACCACAUGACUCUCGUACUAGAGAGGGGGCUCAGACCCAAGAGCAGCAACAAGCUCCAGUUGUUCAGGAUGCGGUGGGGCAACUACCAGUAGAUCCCGCGGUUCAGAAUGAUGUUGCACCAGCAGUUGGGGGUCAAGUUGCAUCGAUGGUUAUUCUGACAGAGGAUGAGCAGCGUAGGUAUGAGAGAUUUCGAAAGAUGGACCCACCUCAGUUUCAGGGUGAGAAGAGCGAGGACGCCCAUGAGUUUCUAACUACCUGCCGAGAGUUACUAGAGGUGGUUGGAUUAGCUGAGUCAUAUGGGGUUCGAUAUGCUACACUCCAGCUUCGUGGACCAGAAAGAGACUGGUGGAGGACUUAUUCGGGGGUUUUGCCAACUGGAUAUCCUCCAGUGACUUGGAAGCAGUUUGCUAGUGCAUUCCAAGAUCGUUUUAUCCCAUGGAGCGUGAGAGAGGAGAGUCGCUUGAGGUUUGAGAGUCUGAGACAGGAUGGUUUAUCGGUUAUAGAGUAUGAGGCGCAUUUUUGCCAGUUGACUAGGCAUGCGUUAGCCAUUAUUCCAAAUGAGACAGAGAGGAUCCACAGAUUUGUGAGGGGAUUGACUUUCUUUAUUAGGUCAGCUGUGUUUCGAACAUCUAGGGAGGGGACUUCUUUCCAGUCCAUUGUGAGCGCCGCCAAAGAGGCGGAAUUGAUGGAGAGAGAGGAGUUUGGGAACCCUAAAAAAGCUCGUAUAUCAGGUCAGUUUCAGGGUGCCUCAUCUGGAGGUAGGGGAUCACAAAGAGUGAGUGGUUCUUUUCAGCAGCUGGGACCUAUUCAUGCAUCUAUGCCGACAUUUGAGGGUGGCCAGACAUCUAGGGGUUCUUACGGCCCAGGUCAGGGCUCGUACGGUUCACAGCAGCGACCUACAGGGCGAGGAAAUUAUAGUGGGUUUUCAGGGUCCACACAACAGUUCCCAGGUCAGAAAUUUUAUUUUACUUGUGGAGAUCCCGAUCAUCUAAUGCGGCAGUGUACUUCACAAAGGGGUCGUGGUGGGCCUCGACCUAAUUCUUCAUUUCAGACUAGACCAUCAGCACCACAGGGUAGAGGUCGUGGCAGAGCUCAGUCAAGUAGAGGUGAUAGAGUUUCUAGUAGUGGUGUUGCAGCUCAGCAGAGUGGGGGUAGAGGUACCACCCAGGAUGGAGGUAGACGAGGAGGCCACUGCUAUGCUUUCCCCGGGAGACCUGAGGCGGAGACCUUUGAUGCUGUUAUUACAGGUAUUAUCCCAGUAUUCCAUUGACCUGCGUCUGUGUUGUUUGAUCCAGAUCUACAUUCUCUUAUGUGUCUACGUAUUUUGCUGCUAAAUUUGAUAUGAUAUGUGAUAGCAUGACUGUACCUAUUCGCGUUUCUACACCCGUGGGCAAGCCCUUAGUGGUGGAUCGAGUGUAUCGAUCCUUUCUUGUUUCUUUAGCUGGGUAUGACACUUGGGUAGACUUAAUCAUUCCGGAGAUGGUUGACUUUGAUGUUAUCUUGGGUAUGGAUUGGCUUUCUCCUUAUCACGCUGUCCUUGAUUGUAAUGCUAAGACUGUGACUUUAGCAAUGCCUGGUGUUUCGAGGGUUGAGUGGAAGAGUGUUAGUGACUCUUAUCCUAGCAAGAUUAUCUUUUUUAUUCGUGCUCAGAGAAUGGUGGAGAGGGGGUGUUUGUCUUACUUAGCGUUUAUUCGGGAUACUAGUGUUGAACCACCUCCCCUGGACUCUAUUCCCGUGGUUCAGGAGUUUCUCGAUGUAUUUCCUUCUGAUCUUCCAGGUGUUCCUCCCGAUAGGGAUAUCGAUUUUGCUAUUGUUUUGGAGACAGGCACUAAGCCUAUUUCUAUCCCUCCAUACCGUAUGGCUCCAGCAGAGUUGAAAGAAUUGAAGGAUCUGUUGCAGGAUUUAUUGAGUAAGGGUUUUAUUCACCCUAGUGUGUCACCUUGGGGUGCACAUGUAUUAUUUGUGAAGAAGAAGGAUGGGACUAUGAGAAUAUGUAUUGAUUACAGACAGUUGAACAAGGUAACAGUGAAGAAUAAGUAUCGUCUUCCGCGUAUUGAUGACUUAUCUGAUCAGUUACAGGGAGCAUCAUUGUUCUCUAAGAUUCAUUUGAGGUCUGGGUAUCAUCAGUUGAAGAUUAGGGCAUCAGAUAUCCCUAAGACAGCUUUUUGAACUCGGUAUGGGCAUUAUGAGUUCCUAGUGAUGUCCUGCGGAUUGAAUAAUGCCCCUGCAGCAUUCAUGGAGUUGAUGAAUGGGGUGUUUCGACCAUACCUUGAUUCUUUUGUGAUUGUUUUUAUCGAUGACAUCUUGGUUUACUCCAAGACUAAGGAGGACCAUGUCCGACACUUGAGGAUUGUACUUCAGAGGUUGAGAGAAGAGAUGUUGUAUGUCAAGUUCUCAAAGUGUGAGUUUUGGCUUACUUCUGUGGCAUUCUUAGGACAUGUGGUGUCUAAGGAGGGUAUUAGAGUAGAUUCGGCCAAGAUUGAGGCAGUUAGAUACUGGACGCGACCUACUUCACCUACUGAGAUUAGGAGUUUUGUGGGAUUGGCAGGCUAUUAUCGACGAUUUGUUCAGAGUUUCUCUACUAGUGCAGCUCCAUUGACUAGAUUGACUCGACAUGAUGUGAGUUUUCAGUGCUCUGAUGAGUGUGAGGAGAGAUUUCAAAAGCUCAAGACUUUGUUGACUUCUGCUCCUGUGUUGACUCUACCUGAGGAGGGUGUAGACUUUACUGUGUAUUGUGAUGCUUCAGGAGUUGGUUUGGGUGGUGUGUUGAUGCAGAAGGGGAAAGUGAUUGCUUAUGCUUCUAGGAAGUUGAAAUCCCAUGAGAAGAACUACCCUACUCAUGAUUUGGAGUUGCCGGCUGUGGUAUUUGUACUUAAGUUAUGGCGUCAUUAUUUGUAUGGAGUGCAUUGUGAGAUCUUCACUGAUCAUCGGAGUCUUCAAGUAUAUCUUUAGCCAGAGGGAUUUGAACUUGAGGCAACGAAGAUGGCUUGAGUUGCUGAAGGACUAUGAUGUGACCAUUUUGUAUCAUCCGGGGAAGGCCAAUGUUGUGGCCGAUGCUUUGAGUAGGAAGACUCAUAGCAUGGGGAGUCUUGCAUCUCUUAGUGUUGAGGAAAGACCAUUGGCUAGAGAUGUUCAAUUGUUAGCUAACAGUCUUGUCCGAUUACAGAUCUCAGAGGAGAGUGAUGGGAUGAUUGCUUUUAUUGAGGCUCGAUCUUCUUUAGUCAAGCAGAUUCGUGCACACCAGUUUGAUGACGAAAAAUUAUGUCUCAUUCGAGACAAAGUAUUGAGAGGGGAAGCUAAGGAGGUUGUCCUUGAUUCUGAUGGUGUCUUGAGGAUCGGAGGCAGGAUUUGUGUGCCCAAGACAGGCGAUUUGAUUAGAUUGAUCCUUGAGGAGGCCCAUUGUUCUCGAUAUUCUAUUCAUCCGGGAGAGGCGAAAAUGUAUCAUGAUCUGAGUCAGCAUUACUGGUGGUGUGGGAUGAAGAGAGAUAUUACAGACUUUGUUUUGAGGUGUUUGACUUGCCAGUUGGUCAAGUGUGAGCACCAGUGGCCUGGGGGUGUAUCUCAAAGGAUGCCUAUUCUUACUUGGACGUGGGAGUGGAUUACUAUGGACUUUGUUGUGGGUUUGCCUACCACAGUGGGUGGUUAUGACUCUAUUUGGGUUGUUGUUGAUAGGCUGACCAAGUCUGCCCACUUCAUUCCGGUUCGGGUGAAGUAUACGGUAGAAAAGUUAGCUGAGCUAUAUAUCAGUCACAUUGUUCGACUACAUGGAGUUCCUAUUUCUAUCAUAUCAGAUCGAGGUUCACUAUUUACUUCUCAUUUCUGGAAGGCAUUACAACAUAGUCUGGGUACUCAGUUAGAUAUGAGUACGGCAUUUCACCCUCAAACAGAUGGUCAAUCUGAGCGGACCAUUCAGGUAUUGGAUAUGCUUCGAGCGUGUGUGAUCGAUUUUGGUGCUAGAUGGGAUAACCAUUUACCAUUAGUGGAGUUUGCUUGUAAUAACAAUUAUCACUCUAGUAUCCAGAUGGCCCCAUUUGAGGCGUUGUAUGGAAGGCGGUGUAGGUCUCCGAUUGGUUGGUUUGAUUCGGCGGAGAUGGACUCUUUGGAUACAGACUUGCUGAGAGAUGCAAUGGAGCAAGUCCGUAUGAUUCAGUAUAGAUUAUUGACAGCUCAGAGUCGACAGAAGAGUUAUACAGACCGGAGAGUUAGAGCCUUGGUGUUUAUGGAGGGUGAUCAUGUUUGGCUCCGAGUAUCACCCAUGAAGGGUGUGAUGAGGUUCGGAAAGAAGCACAAGCUUAGUCCUAGAUUCAUUGGCCCUUUUGAGAUUUUAAGCCGAGUGGGAGAGGUGGACUAUAAGUUGGCCUUGCCACCUAGUUUGUCAGCAGUACAUCCUAUUUUUCAUGUCUCUAUGCUUAGGAAGUAUAUUCCGGACGAAUCUCAUGUGCUUUCACUUGAUUCUGUAGAGUUGGGUCCAGACUUGACAUUUAAAGAGGAGCCUAUAGCUAUUUUGGAUAGGCAGGUUCGAAAGCUUAGAACCAAGGAGAUUGCUUCAGUGAAGGUGCAGUGGAAGCACCGAUCGGUGAGAGAGGCAACUUGGGAGACUGAGUCUGACAUGCGUGCCAGAUAUCCUCAACUUUUUGAAGCUUCAGGUAAUUACUUUUACUCUAUGUUCGAGGACGAACAUGAUUUUUAGUGGUGGAUAAUGUAAUGACCCAAAAGCUCCUCUUUAGAAUUUUUGAAUGUUUGUUUAACUUAAGUUAAUUAAACAAUAGUUUAUGGGCUAAAGUGAUAAUUUAUUUAAGACCCUAUACCCUUUUAGCCUAUAUUUAAUAAAAUAUGUGGGUAAAACCUAUCACUUUUAGUACUUAAAUAAUUCAGAAAAAAAGAAUUAGGGAAAACGAAGAAUUGACGACGGCCGGCAAACACAAAGGAAGUGGCAUAACAUGUCCAGGUAAUUGUUAAACAUAAUUAUUCUUAUUUAUUUAUUGUUGCCAUUAAUUAGUAUUAGCAUUAAUUGAAUAUGCAUUGUGUUAUAUAUAUGUAUAAGAUUUGCAAAGUAUGACUCCAUUAUGUGGCAGUGAUGAUUGAGCAACCAAUUCGGCGGAAAAUUUCAUGAAAUUAACAUAUUAAACUCAUAAUAUUAAAUUAGUUGAGAUUUUAGGGUUAAGUCAUUAUGUUUAACUAUUCGAAGUGGUAUUGUUUUAUGUGUUUAGUAUAAUAAUAAUAAUUAUGAAGAAUUAAAUUUUGAUAUAUUAAGAUAGGUAAUUAGAUAUUGAGUGUAUUAUACUAUAUGAUGAUUAUUAGGUUUGUAGUAUUUGGAGAAAAUAUGAUUUAACCUUAGACUUGAAACUUGGAAAAUAUAAUAGUUGAAAUGUUAGUUGGCAUCAAGAAUUACGAACUUGAUUAUAAAUUUGAGGUGAAAUUUUAGGUCAAGAUUGAACACACAAAAGUGUGAGUGUUGUUAGUUCUGAAUCCUUAUUGUGAAUAUAUAUACUUGCAUAGAUUGCAUUGAUUUGUAAGCUCAACGGAAAGGGAAGGCUCAAGUCCCAGAGUGAUUAUUCGAGUGGUUAAGGCAAGUGGAUUUCUAAACCCUUGUUAAGUGUAUGAAAUUCGUGUAUUUCCUUGCGUAGUGUUGAGAAUGACUUGGAGACUUGUUGCUUAUUUGUUGGUGUUGUAUUCCUUGUUGUGAAUUGUGCCUUGUUAUCAAAAUGGUUAUCUUCUCAUUUUCAUUCGAGCAUGUCAUUUGCAUUGUAUCUGAGAGAUGGUUGUGGUAAGAGGAUGUACCAUUUUGAGGGUCGUAUCGCACGCCGUGAUGGGUAUUACAUUUCGAGGGACGUAUCGUGCGCCGCGAAGGUUACUAUUAUCGAGGGUCGUGUCAUGCGCCGCGAUAGAUGCAUGGACAGAUAUGUCCCCCAUGGGUCCCGGACUGAGAGACAGUGGGUGUGUAUCAUUAAGAAAGACAUGCAUCACUAUAUUUGACAUUGCAUCUCAUGGCAUUGCACAUUUUAUUAUUGAUGAACUUGAACACGUGCUUUGCUGAUCUUGUGAUUGUUUCUCUGUGAAGCUUGUGACUGUUGAAUAUUGAGCUGUUAUUGAGAAUGUGUAAACUGAUAGAGUGUGGUUAUUGAGUUGUGUGUUUGGUAAAUUGUAAACUAUUAGGCUGUAGUGUGGAGGUUUAGAUAGGGUGUAAGGAGUACCCGUAUUUUGUUCACUUAACUUGUGUUUAGAGGUUUGCUUGUUGGGUACCGCGUGGUUUGGUACUCACCCCUUGCUUCUACAAAUUUUUUUGUAGGUUACGAGCCUGGAUCUUCUUGAUAUCUGUCAUUCUUUUCGUUUCCGAGGCAUCUUGUGGAGGGUUGUGAGGUAGCUGCUUGUCAUUUCAGCGAACUUUCCUACUCCAGUUUAUGAUUUUGUUUUUACUUGAAAGACAACUUCAUUUUAGACUUCUAUUUUGUUCCAAUUCUAAUAUUUACAUUAGAGGCUUGUGCACGUGAUAACCUGGUUUUGGGGAUUGGAUUAAUAUGACUUGGUUUCAUAAUAGGAAUUGUUGUUGGAUUGUCAUUUACUUCCGCACUUUGUUAGAUAUUGGGUUUUAGGCUGACUUGUCUUGGUGGGAUAAGACGAGUGCCAUCACACCCAUUUUUUGGGUCGUGACAAAGUGAUUCUUAUAUCUAUUGAGGUGAUUCCUGUCACUCUCGCCGAGUUGUACUUACUACAGAUUUGAGCCUCAGUGCUUCAUUUGCUGAUAUAAUUUUUUUUAAACCUUACAAAUGUUGAAUUCACAGGUUGAUAAACACAUGAGAGUUUUUUCUUUUAAAGGAAAAAGACUUAUCAUAGAUCCAGAGCCAAAGAACGAGGAUUGUAGAGAAUAAAGGAGAACACUUCAAAGGUAUCUUGCUCCUCUCUCUGAGUUUCACAAUUGUUAUUUCAACCACACUAAAAAAACAUUAUUAUUUUCAUAAUAGUGUUGUAAUUUUCUUAAAUGCUAACAUCGUCAAAAACACUGUUAUAAUCUACUCUCCCUAAUGAACCAAAUAAAUCAUAUUUGGGGGCUAAGGUUCCAACUUAGGAAUCAAUCACGUUUAAUCCACAAUCAUUAUUUUCUUUCUACAAUAAUGGUAUGAAUUAGGUUAAUGAUCGGAGAUUACAGAAGUAUAUUGACCGUGUAUGAUAAUCAAUAUUACCUAUAAUGAUGAUAUAAUUUUUUCUUUGAGCAGAUUAAUAGUGUAGGAAUAAAAUCGAAUAUGUACCUUGGCUGUGCAACCCGAAUGGUAAAUUUCUAUGCAAUCUGUGUUACAGCCAUGUCAGACUAUCCUAGGCUUGCUUGUCGUGUCACAAGUAUUACAAAUAUUACCUCAAUGUUCAAUUUUCUUUGAAUAUAUUGAAAAUCCCAUCUUCACCUCCACAAAGUAAAGUUGAGAUAACUUAAAUGUCUAUUGAAAUGGUUUAACGUCAGCAAUUUGUACAGUGUAAAAGUGAUAUUUACUUAUAUUUGUUAAAGAUAUAUUUCUUAUGUGUUUGUAUAUUACAGAAAUAGUAUUUUGAAUGACUGAUAGAGCAAAGAGUAAUACGCACCGAUUCAUUGGGAAAUAACAGUAAUUAUAAUAGAUGUUAGUUAAAGAUAUAUUGCUUAUGUGUUUGUAUAUUACAAAAUAAUAUUUUGAAUGACCGAUAUAGCAAAGAGUAAUACCACCAAUCCAUUGGGAAAUAACAGUGAUUAUAAUAGAUGUUAGUUUUUCUGUCAUAAUAAAAGAAUAUUUGUUUACAUUCAGGCUUCAUACAUUUUCUCUCAUGAUCUUCUUUUUAAUCUAUUUUUCCUUUUGCUUCAAAAGCAAUUGUAAACAACUCUGUCAUAUGAUGUUUGUACUUCUAAAUUAAAAUGAGUAAAAGGUGAAUAUAGAUGAUGUGUGGAGAAAUGAUCCUCUACCUUUUUGUUAUCUUUGAAAUAGUAUCACUCUGAAGAAGAUCAGGAGAGAAUGCUUGCAAUAUUGUUGAUAUGAUUCUGAACAUUUUCAGCAGGUCAGUUUGUCUUUUAUUUAUUUUUAUUACCUUUCCUACGUAUGAAUAUAAGAAAAGAUUUAUGUUUAGAUAUUCAGCUCGGUAGUUUUUUAUUAGUUGAACUAUCUUUUUCAAUCACUAAUUUUCUAAUGAAAUUAGUAACUUUGUUGCCUUAAAUUCUUUGUAUUCCUUCUCAGCUUAUUCACAAUACUAAAAAGAAUUCAACUGGAGUACUCUAAGAAGGGUCGUUGAAUGAGUUAAAACUUUGAUGAACCAAUACACUUUUAGCUGAAUAAUUCUUGAAGAUUUGUUAUCUUUCUCAAGUAUUCCUGUUAGUUGUAUGAUUUUUGUGAAGUUUAAGUUGACUUUCAUUGUUGUGAGUUGCUUAAUCUUCGUAUGUUAGAUAUGUUAGGAAACAUGAUGCCAAGCCCCUACUGAUAAUCAAAGACUAUCCUGUCUACAUGCACAUUCUUUUUUUUCUCGAGUUUUUGUUUACAUUUGUUCAAUGAUGAUUCCUUCUACAAUAUUCAUUUGGUAUCGCUAUUCUAUCAAGUUCUUGUUAGAUUGAGUAAGCCAGUCGCUCUAGGCUAACUUUUUGGAUGACACAAGGUAAAAUUUUGUAUUUAUACCAUUGAUACAAGAUGUUAACUGUUUGAAUGACAUAAGGUAAACAUGUUACAACUGUACAAUUGAUAUGAGCUAAGUCUUGCAUCAAAUGUUGCAGAUAGACGGACAAAUUUAUCUUUUUCUCAUGCACAAGCUUGGGAGGAGACUACUAUUUUAAGUCACUCUUGGUGCGCGUUAUAGUGAACUUUUAUUUGUUGUUGGAAACAUUAUUCCAUUAUAACUAAGAACAUGUUACAAUUAGAAUGAAUGUAAAUACUAGAUUUCAUUUUCUCCUUCACAAAUUGGAGAUGAAUAUUUCCUCUAGACAGGGUCUAUAUUUGUUUGCUUUUACCAUGAUGAGUUUCACAAAAUGACAACAAACUUACAUUUAUUAAGCACUUUCUACUUGUGCUUUGUAGUUUGCAGUGAGCUCAAUUUGUUUUCUUUUGUUAUGUUCU
rnacentral:lncRNA from 1 species